UUAAGCGACUAAGCGUACACGGUGGAUGCCCUGGCAGUCAGAGGCGAUGAAGGACGUGCUAAUCUGCGAAAAGCGUCGGUAAGGUGAUAUGAACCGUUAUAACCGGCGAUGUCCGAAUGGGGAAACCCAGUGUGAUUCGUCACACUAUCGUUAACUGAAUACAUAGGUUAACGAGGCGAACCGGGGGAACUGAAACAUCUAAGUACCCCGAGGAAAAGAAAUCAACCGAGAUUCCCCCAGUAGCGGCGAGCGAACGGGGAGCAGCCCAGAGUCUGAAUCAGCUUGUGUGUUAGUGGAACGGUCUGGAAAGUCCGACGGUACAGGGUGAUAGUCCCGUACACCAAAAUGCACAGGCUGUGAACUCGAAGAGUAGGGCGGGACACGUGGUAUCCUGUCUGAAUAUGGGGGGACCAUCCUCCAAGGCUAAAUACUCCUGACUGACCGAUAGUGAACCAGUACCGUGAGGGAAAGGCGAAAAGAACCCCGGCGAGGGGAGUGAAAAAGAACCUGAAACCGUGUACGUACAAGCAGUGGGAGCACCUUCGGGUGUGACUGCGUACCUUUUGUAUAAUGGGUCAGCGACUUAUAUUCUGUAGCAAGGUUAACCGUAUAGGGGAGCCGCAGGGAAACCGAGUCUUAACUGGGCGUUAAGUUGCAGGGUAUAGACCCGAAACCCGGUGAUCUAGCCAUGGGCAGGUUGAAGGUUGGGUAACACUAACUGGAGGACCGAACCGACUAAUGUUGAAAAAUUAGCGGAUGACUUGUGGCUGGGGGUGAAAGGCCAAUCAAACCGGGAGAUAGCUGGUUCUCCCCGAAAGCUAUUUAGGUAGCGCCUCGUGAAUUCAUCUUCGGGGUAGAGCACUGUUUCGGCUAGGGGGUCAUCCCGACUUACCAACCCGAUGCAAACUACGAAUACCGAAGAAUGUUAUCACGGGAGACACACGGCGGGUGCUAACGUCCGUCGUGAAGAGGGAAACAACCCAGACCGCCAGCUAAGGUCCCAAAGUCAUGGUUAAGUGGGAAACGAUGUGGGAAGGCACAGACAGCCAGGAUGUUGGCUUAGAAGCAGCCAUCAUUUAAAGAAAGCGUAAUAGCUCACUGGUCGAGUCGGCCUGCGCGGAAGAUGUAACGGGGCUAAACCAUGCACCGAAGCUGCGGCAGCGACACUAUGUGUUGUUGGGUAGGGGAGCGUUCUGUAAGCCUGCGAAGGUGACCUGUGAGGGUUGCUGGAGGUAUCAGAAGUGCGAAUGCUGACAUAAGUAACGAUAAAGCGGGUGAAAAGCCCGCUCGCCGGAAGACCAAGGGUUCCUGUCCAACGUUAAUCGGGGCAGGGUGAGUCGACCCCUAAGGCGAGGCCGAAAGGCGUAGUCGAUGGGAAACAGGUUAAUAUUCCUGUACUUGGUGUUACUGCGAAGGGGGGACGGAGAAGGCUAUGUUAGCCGGGCGACGGUUGUCCCGGUUUAAGCAUGUAGGCUGGUUGUCCAGGCAAAUCCGGAUAAUCAAGGCUGAGGUGUGAUGACGAGGCACUACGGUGCUGAAGUAACAAAUGCCCUGCUUCCAGGAAAAGCCUCUAAGCAUCAGGUAACAUCAAAUCGUACCCCAAACCGACACAGGUGGUCAGGUAGAGAAUACCAAGGCGCUUGAGAGAACUCGGGUGAAGGAACUAGGCAAAAUGGUGCCGUAACUUCGGGAGAAGGCACGCUGGUGUGUAGGUGAAGUCCCUGCGGAUGGAGCUGAGACCAGUCGAAGAUACCAGCUGGCUGCAACUGUUUAUUAAAAACACAGCACUGUGCAAACACGAAAGUGGACGUAUACGGUGUGACGCCUGCCCGGUGCCGGAAGGUUAAUUGAUGGGGUUAUCCGUAAGGAGAAGCUCUUGAUCGAAGCCCCGGUAAACGGCGGCCGUAACUAUAACGGUCCUAAGGUAGCGAAAUUCCUUGUCGGGUAAGUUCCGACCUGCACGAAUGGCGUAAUGAUGGCCAGGCUGUCUCCACCCGAGACUCAGUGAAAUUGAACUCGCUGUGAAGAUGCAGUGUACCCGCGGCAAGACGGAAAGACCCCGUGAACCUUUACUAUAGCUUGACACUGAACAUUGAGCCUUGAUGUGUAGGAUAGGUGGGAGGCUUUGAAGCGUGGACGCCAGUCUGCGUGGAGCCAACCUUGAAAUACCACCCUUUAAUGUUUGAUGUUCUAACGUUGGCCCCUUAUCGGGGUUGCGGACAGUGUCUGGUGGGUAGUUUGACUGGGGCGGUCUCCUCCCAAAGCGUAACGGAGGAGCACGAAGGUUAGCUAAUCCUGGUCGGACAUCAGGAGGUUAGUGCAAUGGCAUAAGCUAGCUUGACUGCGAGCGUGACGGCGCGAGCAGGUGCGAAAGCAGGUCAUAGUGAUCCGGUGGUUCUGAAUGGAAGGGCCAUCGCUCAACGGAUAAAAGGUACUCCGGGGAUAACAGGCUGAUACCGCCCAAGAGUUCAUAUCGACGGCGGUGUUUGGCACCUCGAUGUCGGCUCAUCACAUCCUGGGGCUGAAGUAGGUCCCAAGGGUAUGGCUGUUCGCCAUUUAAAGUGGUACGCGAGCUGGGUUUAGAACGUCGUGAGACAGUUCGGUCCCUAUCUGCCGUGGGCGCUGGAGAAUUGAGGGGGGCUGCUCCUAGUACGAGAGGACCGGAGUGGACGCAUCACUGGUGUUCGGGUUGUCAUGCCAAUGGCACUGCCCGGUAGCUAAAUGCGGAAGAGAUAAGUGCUGAAAGCAUCUAAGCACGAAACUUGCCCCGAGAUGAGUUCUCCCUGAGACUUUAAGUCUCCUGAAGGAACGUUAAAGACGAUGACGUUGAUAGGCCGGGUGUGUAAGCGCAGCGAUGCGUUGAGCUAACCGGUACUAAUGAACCGUGAGGCUUAACCUU
rnacentral:rRNA from 1 species